rnacentral:rRNA from 1 species
AGAGUUUGAUCAUGGCUCAGAUUGAACGCUGGCGGCAGGCCUAACACAUGCAAGUCGAGCGGUAGAGAGAAGCUUGCUUCUCUUGAGAGCGGCGGACGGGUGAGUAAUGCCUAGGAAUCUGCCUAGUGGUGGGGGAUAACGUUCGGAAACGGACGCUAAUACCGCAUACGUCCUACGGGAGAAAGCGGGGGAUCUUCGGACCUCGCGCCAUUAGAUGAGCCUAGGUCGGAUUAGCUAGUUGGUGAGGUAAUGGCUCACCAAGGCGACGAUCCGUAACUGGUCUGAGAGGAUGAUCAGUCACACUGGAACUGAGACACGGUCCAGACUCCUACGGGAGGCAGCAGUGGGGAAUAUUGGACAAUGGGCGAAAGCCUGAUCCAGCCAUGCCGCGUGUGUGAAGAAGGUCUUCGGAUUGUAAAGCACUUUAAGUUGGGAGGAAGGGCAGUAACCUAAUACGUUAUUGUUUUGACGUUACCGACAGAAUAAGCACCGGCUAACUUCGUGCCAGCAGCCGCGGUAAUACGAAGGGUGCAAGCGUUAAUCGGAAUUACUGGGCGUAAAGCGCGCGUAGGUGGUUCAGUAAGUUGGAAGUGAAAUCCCCGGGCUCAACCUGGGAACUGCUUUCAAAACUGCUGAGCUAGAGUACGGUAGAGGGUGGUGGAAUUUCCUGUGUAGCGGUGAAAUGCGUAGAUAUAGGAAGGAACACCAGUGGCGAAGGCGACCACCUGGACUGCUACUGACACUGAGGUGCG